AACAGAGAGAAUGAGGGGAAAGGAAUGCAGGGCAUAACAGGCGUGUGAUUGAGAAGAAUGGCCUCCCAGAUCUAAACAGCACCAGUCAGUCCAGCAAUCUACAAACAGAGGCUUUCCUGUCCGCGGUGUUACAGCUGCCAUACCAUCCUGUGAUGAAGCGUGUCAGUUCACCUUCAAUGCUGCAACAGUAGAAGGACACAAGUGGAUCUUUUCCGAGGUCUCCAUCUCCAGCUGCUCUGCCGCAGCUAAUGUUGCUCUGGUGCCCCAUCCAAUCAUUGAAGAUGCCUGCCUUCUCUGUGUUAGCAGGGCUUUGGAGAUGGAAGAAGAAAAGCGGCCAAACCCCAACUUUUCAAUAUUUAUAUUCAUCUUUCUGCUCCUUCCACUAGUGAUGGUCAAAACGACGAUUUGUGAACCAUUUGCUGUAUUUUCUAACCCCACUAGAUGGUGCUGUUGGUUUACUUUGGGGCAUGUUUGAGUCCUUUUUUGAACAAACAGCACCAUUUAGUGGGGCCAGAAAAUACAUCAAAUAGUUCAUGAAGCGUCAUAUUGGCCAUCAUUACCUUAAAGAGUACAGCAUCUCAGGCAGGCUUGGAGCCUAUCGCAGGCAGCACAGGCUACAAGGCAGGGGUGCAUGCUGGAUGAGAUGCCAGUUCAUGUGGGCACACACAUGCUCACAUAAUAUGGGAAUUUUAGGGAUUGUGGGAGGAAAUCUGCAAAACGUGAUGAACAUGGAGUUCCCUGUGCUUCCUGUCCUAGACCCUGGGCUCUCACACAAUCCAGUAUUACAUUAAUGAUUAUGGAACAUGGAUAGACUACAAAAAAUGUUACUAGUUAAAAUUCAUAUGCAUCCCUGUCAAAUAGAAUUUUAUCAAAGGCAGCAUAUCAAAGAAAGAGGUAAAACUCAACCCCUAAGUCCACAAAAUUACAAUGGACAGCCCCUGUAAAGAAGUGAACAUAAUAUAUCAACUCAUCACUCACAAAGGACUCUAUGGCCGACAAAACUCUUUAUUUUCCCACGUGACACACAGGAGGUAAUGAUACAGAUUUUGCGUUUCUUCUGUAAAUCUCAACAAAAGGUGUAAAACCUGAAAACCAAACCGUGAAAAUCAAGCAUUUAAAGACUAAAGAUAUUAAAACACUAAAGAAGACUCAAGACACAAACGAUUUUAGGAUUGUCUUAUAAUAAAAUACUAAAAAUAUGACUUCUCUUAAAUGAAUAAGUAAUUUCUAAAAAAUAGGUUAUGCUGGUAGAACAGUAACAACGUUGGGCAGGAACCCAAACAGUGAUUAUAAUAGCUCCUAUAGAUAUACAGUAUAUAUUAUGUUUUUUACAUAGUAAUCUGUAUAAGCAAUGAGAGCACAUGGCUGAAAUACAUCCACAAACAAAGUCUCUCAGGAUGAAAUUUGUGUUACAUCAUGCAAGUGUAAAUGCAAAGCACCUGGCCAAAUGGCCAGGCUUCCCUGUCCAGUAUUACAGAUGGACAUUGGUGUCCUACUGCAUCAAAUGCAAGCAUAUUUUUAUUUCAUAAAUGAUUAAAUCACUGUUUAAGGCAAGUUUCCCAAGCUGAUUGUCCUAUUUGUAAAAAUUCUGCCAGACCACUCAAAAUAAGGCUGAUAUGAUGCAAUGAUGUGAAUAUCCAUGGUAACUGAUAUGGAAAAACAUGUGAACUCCCAAAUGGUGUCCU